GUGUCAGCAGCCGCGGUAAUACCGGCAGCUCGAGUGAUGACCGAUUUUAUUGGGCCUAAAGCGUCCGUAGCUGGCCAGGCAAGUCCGUUGGGAAAUCCACCUGCUCAACAGGUGGGCGUCCAGCGGAAACUGCUUGGCCUGGGACCGGAAGAUCCAAGGGGUACGUCCGGGGUAGGAGUGAAAUCCUGUAAUCCUGGACGGACCGCCGAUGGCGAAAGCACCUUGGAAGGACGGAUCCGACAGUGAGGGACGAAAGCUAGGGUCUCGAACCGGAUUAGAAACCCCUGUGGUCC
rnacentral:rRNA from 1 species